AUAUCAAUUUUCAUUUAUUCAAUCUAUUUUUUAUCUUAUAACCAACACUCCCCCCAUCUGCCGAAAUCCCUAAUUUCUGCUCCACCCUACACUUCUGCGUGGUUGUGGAGUCGCACAGCUGCCAUCGAUCCUUCUCUCCCCGGCAGCAACCUUUCACCUCUCCUCCAUAAUACGUGAAAUCUCUGCUUCCUCCUCCACGGUGCGCAAAAUCCGUAAUCUCUGCUCCACCGUGCGAUUUUGUGUCGUCGUGGAGUCGACCCGUGGCUGCCCAUACAUCCUCCCCUCAUCGUUGUCGAAGUUUCCUAAAUCCUCAACCGUGCAUGAAACCCUUACACCCUCCUCCACCGUGCGCGAAUCUCAGCUAUCGCGGCCUCUUUCCUGUCACUUGUUUUCAUUCUUGAUUUUGAUGUUGAUGUUGUUUUGAUUGGACUCAUGGUGUUUAGUUUUUGGAUUAUGUUAUUGCUUACUAUUUGUUAUUUUUAAUGGAUCUGGAUGGAGAGAGAGAGAGAGAGGUGUUCUGAGUUGCUUUUUUCAGCUUUCAAAAUUCAGAACGUUUAAGCUCUGGUUAAAUAAAAAGCUUCUGCAUUAGCAAGCAUAGUUUCUGAAGAUUGGAGCCAUUCAAGCAGUGGUAGAAGUGUUAAUUCCUCUAAGAUUGAUGCGUUAGUACUAGACAUUUAACUACAGCUACAAAAGCACCUAUGCUUCCUCCUUAUGUAUUUUUUUUUUUGAUAGAAUUUAGUUUAGAAAUAAAACUUAUUCUCAAAUUUUGCAUGUAAGACCUGUGUUAAUUUUGCACUAUGGUGGAAAACAUAAUUAGCCGUUUGUUUGUCAGUAAAUACCUGAGCUAAUUUGUGUAUGUGUUAUUACUUUUGAUCACUUUAAAUGUAGGUUCAUGAGUUGAGGCAACAAUUUUUUCAUUCCAUAAAUCCUGGUGGGCUUAUCGGGGAUCGGCGUGGAGUUGUUCCUGCUUCGGGCUUUUCUUUUAGUGCUCAGCAAAUCUAAAAAGUCAUCAAGGAGAACAAAGAUCUUGACCUUCCCCCACACAAGUUAAGCCACUUGUAGGUCAUGGUUGCUAUUGUAAGAUGCAAUGUUCUGAAAACCGGUUCGAAUUGGCCGGUUGAACUGGUCAAACUGUGAACCAGACCAAAAAAACAGAUCGGUCAAUCAUCAAAACCGUAAAAGUAAAAAAUCGGAAUUGAAUCGACGAACCGGUCGAUAACCGAUCGGUCGAACCAAACCGUGACCCGGACAAUUUUUAAGUUAGCAACAAAACGCUGCCGUUUUUGAGUUUUUUCCCCUCUGAAGUCUGAAUCCCUAAAUCACGAAAACUCCCAAGGCUGAGACUGAGAUCCCUAAUUGGCUUCGCUGCUCUCUCUGCUUCAGUGGUUCCCAUUGUUGAUGAUUCUUCUUCGAGCUUCACUGAAGUCACUGGCGUCACUGCGUCACACGGGUCGAGGGCUCGCCGUCAAGACACCGCCGUCGUGCCAUCUAGAGCCGUCGAGAACUUAGAAGUGAGAACGCCUCACUCUCACACGGGUCGAGCCACCGCCGUCGAGCCACCGCCGUCGAGCCACCGCAGCAGCCGUGGAGAACUGAGAAGGUGCCUUCGCUGUCUCUCACCGCCUCACUCUCACUCUCCCUGUUGCAUGUUCUGCCUUGAAGGUGACUUCGCUGUCUCAGUGUCUCCCACUCUCUCUGUUUUAUUUUUCUUUGAACUGUGUAGUGUGAUUAGUUGAUUAUCAAACUGAUUGGAGGUAUUUUUCUUUGAAUUGAAUUGAGUAAUCCCACUCUCCCUUCCCCCUGAUGCUUGGAGGAUGUUAGGUUGGUUUUUCUCCUGGUCUUCAAAGGUCAGGUAGAAAAUUCAGGUGCCAUCACCGCCUCUCGGUGCCUUCGAUAAGAUCUCUGCUGAAGAUAUUGUUGUCGCUGCUGGGCUGCCCCAUCCAUGCUUACCGUCGUUGCUCCGUCCAGUCUUUCUUCAUCCUUCAUCGUGUUUUCUAGGAUCAUCAUGUGGCUGCGUCAUGCUCUCUCUAGCCGUUGAUUUCAGCACCUUUGUGGUUGCCCCGUGAUACCUCUAUGAUGGUGCCCGCAACGGUGAUGUUGUCGGUGAUGAUUUUUCCUAAUUCCUUUCUCCUUCAUCACAAACCCUAAUUUCUGAACAUAGAUUGUUGUUGAUUUUUUUUUAUUUUGGUGAGAAAUUGGAAGAAGAACAAGAUGUUUGUUGUUCUUGUUAAUGUUUUUUUUGACAAUGAUGUGAUUAUUUUCUUGUUCUUGUUAAUGAUGAUGGUUUUGGUGAUGAA